rnacentral:rRNA from 1 species
UACGAAGGGGGCUAGCGUUGUUCGGAAUUACUGGGCGUAAAGCGCGCGUAGGCGGAUUGUUAAGUCAGGGGUGAAAUCCCGAGGCUCAACCUCGGAACUGCCUUUGAUACUGGCGAUCUUGAGUCCGGGAGAGGUGAGUGGAAUUCCUAGUGUAGAGGUGAAAUUCGUAGAUAUUAGGAAGAACACCAGUGGCGAAGGCGGCUCACUGGCCCGGUACUGACGCUCAUGUGCGAAAGCGUGGGGAGCAAAC